GCACUUCUACUUCAGUUAGAGGUUUACUACAUGUCCCAUAAUGCCUUUUGACAACACUCACACAACAGGCGUGUGCUCGUAAC